rnacentral:snRNA from 1 species
GUGCUCACUUCAGCAGCACAUGCACUAAAAUUGAAAUGAUACAGACAAGAUUAGCAUGGCCCUUUCAGAAGGAUGAUAUGCAAAUAUUUGAAGCAUUCCAUUCUUUU